rnacentral:rRNA from 1 species
UGCAGUCGAACGGUGAAGCCCACGCUUGCUGGGGUGGAUUAGUGGCGAACGGGUGAGUAACACGUGAGCAACCUGCCCCUGACUCUGGGAUAAGCGCUGGAAACGGCGUCUAAUACUGGAUACGAACCGUAAUCGCAUGGUUACUGGUUGGAAAGAUUUUUCGGUUGGGGAUGGGCUCGCGGCCUAUCAGCUUGUUGGUGAGGUAAUGGCUCACCAAGGCGUCGACGGGUAGCCGGCCUGAGAGGGUGACCGGCCACACUGGGACUGAGACACGGCCCAGACUCCUACGGGAGGCAGCAGUGGGGAAUAUUGCACAAUGGGCGCAAGCCUGAUGCAGCAACGCCGCGUGAGGGAUGACGGCCUUCGGGUUGUAAACCUCUUUUAGCAGGGAAGAAGCGAGAGUGACGGUACCUGCAGAAAAAGCACCGGCUAACUACGUGCCAGCAGCCGCGGUAAUACGUAGGGUGCAAGCGUUAUCCGGAAUUAUUGGGCGUAAAGAGCUCGUAGGCGGUUUGUCGCGUCUGCUGUGAAAUCUGGGGGCUCAACCCCCAGCCUGCAGUGGGUACGGGCAGACUAGAGUGCGGUAGGGGAGAUUGGAAUUCCUGGUGUAGCGGUGGAAUGCGCAGAUAUCAGGAGGAACACCGAUGGCGAAGGCAGAUCUCUGGGCCGUAACUGACGCUGAGGAGCGAAAGGGUGGGGAGCAAACAGGCUUAGAUACCCUGGUAGUCCACCCCGUAAACGUUGGGAACUAGUUGUGGGGUCCAUUCCACGGAUUCCGUGACGCAGCUAACGCAUUAAGUUCCCCGCCUGGGGAGUACGGCCGCAAGGCUAAAACUCAAAGGAAUUGACGGGGACCCGCACAAGCGGCGGAGCAUGCGGAUUAAUUCGAUGCAACGCGAAGAACCUUACCAAGGCUUGACAUAUACGAGAACGGGCCAGAAAUGGUCAACUCUUUGGACACUCGUAAACAGGUGGUGCAUGGUUGUCGUCAGCUCGUGUCGUGAGAUGUUGGGUUAAGUCCCGCAACGAGCGCAACCCUCGUUCUAUGUUGCCAGCACGUAAUGGUGGGAACUCAUGGGAUACUGCCGGGGUCAACUCGGAGGAAGGUGGGGAUGACGUCAAAUCAUCAUGCCCCUUAUGUCUUGGGCUUCACGCAUGCUACAAUGGCCGGUACAAUGGGCUGCAAUACCGUGAGGUGGAGCGAAUCCCAAAAAGCCGGUCCCAGUUCGGAUUGAGGUCUGCAACUCGACCUCAUGAAGUCGGAGUCGCUAGUAAUCGCAGAUCAGCAACGCUGCGGUGAAUACGUUCCCGGGUCUUGUACACACCGCCCGUCAAGUCAUGAAAGUCGGUAACACCUGAAGCCGGUGGCCUAACCC